rnacentral:rRNA from 1 species
UACGUAGGUGGCAAGCGUUGUCCGGAUUUAUUGGGUUUAAAAGUGUGCGCAGGUGGCCGCGCAAGUCGAGUGUGAAAAUCCCCCGAGCUUAACUUGGGAAUUGCGCUCGAAACUACGUGGCUCGAGUGUGGCAGAGGAAGGUGGAAUUCCACGUGUAGCGGUGAAAUGCGUAGAGAUGUGGAGGAACACCGAUGGCGAAGGCAGCCUUCUGGGCCAACACUGACGCUCAUGCACGAAAGCGUGGGGAGCGAACAGG